UACGAAGGGUGCAAGCGUUACUCGGAAUUACUGGGCGUAAAGCGUGCGUAGGUGGUUUGUUAGUCUGAUGUGAAAGCCCUGGGCUCAACCUGGGAAUUGCAUUGGAUACUGGCAGGCUAGAGUGCGGUAGAGGAUGGCGGAAUUCCCGGUGUAGCAGUGAAAUGCGUAGAGAUCGGGAGGAACAUCUGUGGCGAAGGCGGCCAUCUGGACCAGCACUGACACUGAGGCACGAAAGCGUGGGGAGCAAACAGG
rnacentral:rRNA from 1 species